rnacentral:lncRNA from 1 species
AGCAAAGGACAUGGAGAGCGCAGGUUGACCAUCGCCCAGAGAUGGAACAUCGUUUUCAGCAGAAUUCACAUAACCAUUUCUUGCAAUCCCAUCUUCCACAGCAAGAUACCUCCAUUUACCCUUGCCAACAACAUGCACCAUGAUUUCCGAUUUCCUUGAAGAAGCCCGACCGCCUUUGAUAAGACCUUUCUGUAAAGCCAUAAUGCAGCAUUCUGCAAGGCGCAGCCACA